AUGAAAAGCGGCAAGACCACAAAAAACAUACUUUCGGAAGAGGUGUUGACUGCAGACACACUUCGUCCAUCAGUUGAUUUAUUUUUUGAAAGAAUUACAGUAGAACAGUGGAACUUAAUAACACUGGGUUUUCCUGAUGACGUGACUAAAAUGCUGUUAGCAGAUCUUAUUUUAGAUCUGAUAAGUUCUGUGAUUACAGCCAUAUUAACAGCAAUCCAAGAAGAUCCAAAUUCAAGGGGGAGUCUCAUGUCAGGAUUGGAUGAAAGGCUUCGAAAGAGCUUAUCUGAAGCAUUGCACAUACCCCAUCAUGCUGAUGAUGUUUCUAUAAGAUGCGUAACGGUCAUGAUCAAAGAAGAGGUUGAAGAAGGGCUGGAUGCAAUCUUCUCUGGUUCUCCUCAAAAAACCACCACCUUAUGUUCACUUAAUUCUAUCAUUCUUAUUGUCAGCAAUGUGAUGAAGAAGUCUGCAAAAAGGGUCAAAAAGUUCCUCAAACCCCGAAAGGUUAAACCGAGGAAGGAGUCUCCAUUUGACACUGCAGAUGUAGAAAAUGCAUUUGGUGAUGGUGGUCCUGAGUCAUCUCUCAGCAAAGAGUUAAAAGAAAUGGUCACUCCUAUUUUAGACAUAGUUCCAGAAAAGGAUUACGAAGGGGUCUUCACAGAGACCGCUACCGAGAUCCAGGCCCUAUCAGAAGACAUUGCCACCAUACUUACUGAAAACAAGGAGAAGAAGAAUCCCUUAAAACUUUGUAAACAAAAGAUCACAAAUUUCUUUGCCAAGUGUUUUCUGAACGUUUGGAUCCGUCGCUUGAUCAGCCAGCUGAGGAAACAACACCCCAGGCUGAGGAGAGGCGAUAGCAGUGAAUCAGUGAGGUCACUGGUAGUUGCCGUGACAUCACUGCUUGAUAAUGACACCUCAUUGGUUGAUGGGUUCCAGGAGUUGACCUCCAGCCAUAAGUCUGUUUUCCACCAAAGUACCAGUGAGUUAUUGUACAGCCACUUGUUGGCAGAGACUGGCAGUAAAGACACUGAGUGGAACGAAAGAUUAUAUGCUGACAUCAAGAAGAAGGCCUGGAAAUUUCAGGGGCUGGUAAACUGGUUCCUAAAAAAUCGGGUUUUCAGGAUCAUGGAAAAGAUGAAAAGUCUUUCACCAAUCCUGGGAGAUGCAGUAGAAGGUCCAGCGGUUGAUAAUGGCCGCAGGGUAGCAGUAGAAGACCUGUCAGAAGCAGCAGAACUUGAGGAGGAACUUGAAGGUACACCAUCUCCUCACUCUGCCAUUGAACAAGCUGAAGAAUUGGAUACAUUUUUAUGCGAGGAGGAACCAAGAGAAGAAGCUUCAGUUUCGCUUGAAAAACAUCGAGACAGUUAUGAACCCCCUUCGGUAAUUGGAGUGGAACCACAGCAAAUUAAGGAAAUGGAGUCAAUGAGAGCAUUUGUCCAGUUUUUAAUUGAAAAGACUUUUAAUCACAUUUACGAUGAAGCAAACAUUGUACCUCAGUACAACGAUGAAGUCCUCAGUGCUCUCCUUGCACACAUCUGGCCCCGAGUCUGGGAUAGUGAUGCAAAUCUAAGUCUGACAGAGAAAUCAUUUAAGAAGAUGGACAAAAUGAUCCACAAAGCCUUCUGUAAAAAGCUGGGCAAUCCGAACGAGGUCCUGUUCAUACUAAAGUACUCGGAGGAGUCAAUCAUUGAAGAACAUACAGUCCGUAUUGCCAAAGAACUCUUGAGACCAUCCAAAAAACUAAACAUCUUCCAGAGACUCUGCUGUUUCCUGGGCUGA
rnacentral:lncRNA from 1 species